CCCUUAGAUGUUCUGGGCUGCACGCGUGCUACACUGAUGCAUUCAGCAAGUAUACUUCUUUUGCCGAGAGGCCUGGGCAAUCUUGUAAACAUGCAUCGUGAUAGGGAUAGAUUUUUGCAAUUAUUAAUCUUUAACGAGGAAUUCCUAGUAAACGCAGAUCAUCAAUCUGCAUUGAUUACGUCCCUGCCCUUUGUACACACCGCCCGUCGCACCUACCGAUUGAAUGGUCCGGUGAAGCCUCGGGAUUAUGAACAAUGCCUUUGUUGGUAUUGUUUGUGAGAACUUGUCUAAACCUUAUCAUUUAGAGGAAGGUGAAGUCGUAACA
rnacentral:rRNA from 1 species